CUCGAAGCGGAAGAGAAGUACAAUAUCCUGGGAGUAGGUGGCGGCUUUUGAGAGCGAGAGAAACAGAGAGAAAUGUCCCUGGUAGACUACGCUUCUUCGUCCGACGACGACGUGUCGGAGGAUAAAGAACGAGAAGAAGAAUCGGAAGCAACAGCGAAACCCCAAAACGAACCACAAGUCCGAAAUUCAUCUCCUACAAUUCCGCCUACUAACCAGAGAUCUUCUAAGUCAUUCUCAAGUCCACACCUUUCACCGUCUUGUAUCGAGACGCUUCCAGAUGCUUCUCUUCUACUGAAUUCACCAUCAGUUUCAUUGCUCACUGCAACUGGAACCGGAACUGACCAUGCAUCUCGAGUUGCAACUGCUAUGGCAGAAAGUGCAUCACGCAAAAGAGACUCCCAUGGAUUGCCUUCCAGUUUACCCCGCUCCAAAGUACCAAAAGGGACUUUGCCACAUACAAAGAUGGUUCCAGAUACGGUUGGUGGUAUUCUAGUUCCGCCUCAACUAAGUGGAAGGAGCAACAUUGUGACAGAAGACAUCGGGAAGCUGUUUGUAAAGAGACAAGCUGAGCCCUCUUCUCACUAGAAUGUCCUAUGCGAUAGUUCUAUUUAAUGUGACAUUUUUGUAGCCUUAAAAUAUGUCUAAAAUUAUUUUUGUAGCCUUAACAUAUCUGUCUCUCAAAUUUCACUGCGCG
rnacentral:misc_RNA from 1 species